CUCAGGAUGAACGCUGGCGGCGUGCCUAAUACAUGCAAGUCGAGGGGUUAAUGUGUAGCAAUACAUAUUGACGACCGGCGCACGGGUGCGUAACGCGUAUGCAACUUACCUUUAACUGAGGAAUAGCCCCGAGAAAUCGGGAUUAAUACCUCAUAAAAUCAGAAGGACGCAUGUUCUUUUGAUUAAAGCUCCGGCGGUUAAAGAUGGGCAUGCGUGGCAUUAGCUAGUUGGUGAGGUAACGGCUUCACCAAGGCUAUGAUGCCUAGGGGUUCUGAGAGGAUUAUCCCCCACACUGGUACUGAGACACGGACCAGACUCCUACGGGAGGCAGCAGUAAGGAAUAUUGGGCAAUGGACGCAAGUCUGACCCAGCCAUGCCGCGUGCAGGAUGACUGCCCUAUGGGUUGUAAACUGCUUUUUUACGGAAAAAAACCCUCGCUCGUGAGCGAGAUUGAUGGUACCGUAAGAAUAAGCAUCGGCUAACUCCGUGCCAGCAGCCGCGGUAAUACGGAGGAUGCAAGCGUUAUCCGGAUUCAUUGGGUUUAAAGGGUGCGUAGGCGGAGUGGUAAGUCAGUGGUGAAAUCCCCUCGCUCAACGAGGGAACUGCCAUUGAUACUGCCAUUCUUGAGUACAGUUGAGGUAGGCGGAAUGUAUCAUGUAGCGGUGAAAUGCAUAGAUAUGAUACAGAACACCGAUAGCGAAGGCAGCUUACCAAGCUGAAACUGACGCUCAGGCACGAAAGCGUGGGGAUCAAACAGGAUUAGAUACCCUGGUAGUC
rnacentral:rRNA from 1 species